rnacentral:lncRNA from 1 species
CCGUUUUCAACAUUUUAGUUUUCUGAGGCUUCUGACCCUGAUUCUGUGUAUUGUUCUUCCCUAGAUGAGUAGAAUGCUGGAGAAGGCGUCUACAGGUCUUAAAACACUUUGAUUUCCUUCCUGCUACUUGGCAAGCUAAACAGGUAAAUUCUCCAUCGCCAUAGUGGUUCUCAUAAUAUCUUCUCAAGUUUUCAUUCUCGGUGAACAACUUCAGAAAGAAUUUGAACUCUUCGCUCUCCUCAGCUCCAUCCAUUAACUCCUUUUCACUAACAUCAUCAUCGUUCAUAGAUCCAAAGAAAGCUGCAUUAAAUUCUUUACAUGCUCUCAAAACUGUUACCUGCAACAUUUCGACUUAAAUGCUCAUCAGCAGAAACUACAUAUUUUGAACAAGGCAUUCGGUUAGUGCUACCAAGGAACCAUUAGUUUCUUUUUCUAAUUAACAUAAGACAAGUAACUGCGUGCUCAUAAAGAACACCUGAAUGGCUGAACCGAAUAUAGCUUAGUUCAAAACUGCAUAGAUUGUUUUCUUCAUUAACAAAACUUCAAGACCUUGCAAAUUUGAAAAGAGCAAAUGCAAUAAGAUCAUCUUACAGGAAAAUUAUCCAUUUCUUCGUCGCUUUCUCCCAUGCCUGAAAUUGAAUUAUCUGCAUUUCCUACUUGCAGCAUGACAUCAUUAUCCUCCCAGGCAUCAUCAUUCUAUAGUGAAAAGCAAUCAAAAUGGAUACUUUACACAAGAAACCACAGAGAUCAAAUAAAAGUUAAUCCCGUAAUUGCAUGAAAACCAACCUCUCCAGAAACCCAAUCUUUGGAAUUAGAAGUUGGAUCUUCAGCUGUCUUUACUUCCUCCAAUUUCUGUUCAUCCUCAUUGACAUUCACCGAAACCACUUCAUACUCAUUAUCAACAUGAAUUUCCUCUAGCUGAACCUACAAUUAUGUCAUAAUAUAAAGCAAUGCCAUUAUAAAAGAAUUCAACUUCGAACACACGGGAAGGCCAGUAAAGUACCUUCAAGUCUCCUGAAUUGGCUAAUGAUCGACUAAGUGGCUCGCCCUUCAACACAAUCGUUGGAAGUCGAUCAACAUCCCAACCAAAAACCCUGCUUACAACCAGACCAAAAGCUCUAUGAGCUCGCUUCUUCUUCGUCCUGGAUAUCGAAAGCGAAUGUUGAACAAGCCCAAGACAGUUCUCAAACCUUUUCCCAGAUUUCUUUUUCCCCAUUCCACCACAAACCAAGCAACAAAACAACCCGCUUUCACAAUUCUUCUCGUAAUAAACCCUAAGUUCUUCAUUCUCCACGAACAUCUUCAAAAAGAAUUUAUACUCUUUACUUUCCAUCAUUUCCCAAUCAUCUUCAUCCUCCUCCUCUUCUUCUUCGUCACUCUCUGAAUCGGCAUUUCUAGCAAAAAAUUCCCGGCAGGCAUCGGAACCCUCGUCUUGCAAUUGCAAUGCUGCAAGAUUUUGUCGGUCUUCAGACGAUACAGGCUGAGCUGCGGGAGUGGGAACGGGCUGAAUUGGCGGCCACCAAGAUGAGGUGGAGGGCUGAUUUUGAAGCGGCUGGGGACAGGGCCAGUUGGGGGCGGAGUCUUGUGGUUGUGGUGGGUCGGGGCGUGGUUUUUUCUUGUUCUUGUUCUUGUUCUUUGGCUUAUCUGGACCUAUGGGUCUCUUGUUGGAGGGAAUGGGAUUGGCGAGGGGGGUGGAUGAAUGGUUGUGAGUGGGUAUAGGGUUCCUCGGCGGCGGGCCUCGGUGCCAGAGAGCAUGAAGAUGGAGGACCUCUUGGGUUAGUCUUUCCUCGGAGUAAGGAUCCAUUGACAACUUCCUCCUCCCGACUCUCACCAACCUUUCGUCUUUCUUCUUUCUUCUUUCUAAAAUAAAGAAUAAUAAAGUUUUAACGAUGCUAAAAUUUCAAGACUACUCUUUAAGCUUUAAAAAAAAAAAGUUUAACCAAUACUUUCAAUCAAAAUUUUAAGUUAAAAACUAUAGUUUAAAAUUUAUUACAUAACCAUCUUAGUUGUUAUUGUUGUAAUUAAUUGUCAACAAAAAAUAUAGAUAUAGUUGAUUAUUAUCUAUAUUUUCUUUUAUUUCUCUGGUUAUUGUUUUUUCUUUUUUUCUAAAUAGUUAUUGGUUUUUUAAAAAAAUAUUUUCUUUCUAAACUUUAAUAAGUAAGUUUAAUUAAUAAGUUUGGUUAAACUAUUAUUUGGUAUUUGGUUCUUAUAUAUCGAAGUUAGUUUUUUAGUACAAUAAUUAUGGACGGAGAAAUAGGAGAUUAUAACUUUAAUAUAGUAAUUUGAAGCUAAAUUAGACCAAAGUAUUAUAUCUACCUUCUAAAAUUUAAAAUUUUAACAACUUUUAUCACUUAAAUUUUGUAUUUGAUAUUAAUUGUUAUAAUUAUUCAUACAUGAAGUUUGAGCUUGAAUAAAAUGUGGAUUAUCUCAUCCUAAUCUCUCAAAUCGUCCACAAAUCAUUUCCAACCAUUAAGAUUAGACGUGAUAUAAGAUGACUUAAUUCAAAAACACAUAAAAUAAUUCAACCAAUCCUAAUUCUUACUAUUUGGGUUGGACAAUUCGAGUUAUUUGAGCACUUUUAAUCUCUACUUACAUAUAUGUUCUAAAAAUACACAAUCUUAUUUAAUUAAUACAUAAAUAUUUUACUAUUAAUUGACGACUUAAAAUAUUUAUUGACGUUUUCAAAUAAAACAAAAUUGAAUAUUCUAUCCAUAAUAAUUGAUAAAAGUUGAUGAAAGUGUCUAUCAGUUAUCUAUUAAGAACUUAGUUGCAUUUUUUUUUUAAUUUUAAUUAAUAUGUUUCUUAUACCUACUUUUUUUUAUAAAAAUUUUUAUUCAAUAAUUUUUCCUAUCUUUGCUUAAUUGGAUUAUUCUUUUACUUUUAUAAGUUUUUUUUGUUUGGUAACGAACAACAACUAACCUAUUAUCUUUUGUGCACUAACAUAGAUAAAUAAAAUAUAAAACAAAUGAGAAAUCAAAACUUUUAUUUCUAUUUUUAUUUUUACUUUUCUUCUAAUUGUUGCGUUCUAUUUUUCCAUGAUUUCUUUUAUUUGAAUCUCCCCGUCAUCUUAGCUGUGGAUGAAAUGUUAUCAUAUUUCUUCACCAAUUUCACAUUCAAUUUCUCCGAAUAUGAAGAAUCAUCAAAUAUAUCUUCAUUUUUACUAAUUCUAACUAGAAAAUAUUAAAAGAAAAGGAUAAUUAUGAGUUUUUUUUGUUGUUAAUUUUGCUUUGUUUUUUUGUUCUCUAAUCUAUUGCGUACAUAGUUUUCCAAAUUCUUUAACACUCAUUUAAUAUGUGAGUUAUAUAUAUACACACACGAUCAAUAUAAAAAUCAAUUUCAUGCAUACAAAAAAUAUUGUUAUUUAAAAUAGUUAAAUUGGUUAGUUCGACCAAGUAAGUACAAACAAUAUGUCUUCAUUGCUUGUUAGUGAUACUGUUAAGAAGCAAUGAGUUUUUGGAAUGCUUGUGGCAAAUAAAUCUAUAAGAAUGACUUGUCCAUCCACUUGUUGAUCCACAUACAACUUCUCAAUAUCAAAUUACUAUGAAAGACACAACUAUUAACAUUAUAAACUAAUAAUUUCAAUUUUGUACUUAAAAGCACUUUUACCAACCAACUUAUUUUUCUAAUCAAAUGUGAUUUUUCUUGAAGUUUAUCAUAGAGAGGUAGUUGUUGGAGUCCAAAGUUGAAGAUGGUUGUCGAAGUUAAUUAUCCAAUGUGAUUUUCGCCAAAGUUUGUAGUUGUAAAUUGUUGUCAAAGACAGAAGUUGGUUGCACAAAACUGAUCUUGGAAAUCGUCGUAAGAGUCUGUUGUCAUAACUUGAAAUUCAUCACAAAGGUGAUCAUCAAAGUCGAUUUUCAUCAAAGUUUGUUAUUGGAACCCGAAAUUGGUCAUCAAAGUUGGUUAUGCAAAGUCAAUCAUCAAGGAGAUGUGAAAAUGGUAGUUGGUAGGUGAAUCUAUUGGAAACAUUAGAGAGAACGGAGUAAAAAGUGAGUUGGUAUAAUAUACAUGUUAUGAUAUAUAUAUUUAUAUUUUAUCAUAUGUCAAUUAUUGUAAUUGUACAUAGUGUCUAGUGUUUAUUUUAUUCUCUAUAUAAAUAGGUAACGUUCCUUUGACUCAAUACGAAUAAGAAAUAUAUUUAUAUGAAUUCAACUCCAUCAAUAUGUAAAGUUAAUGGAUCAAACAAUGAGUUUAUAAAUUAUAACAACUCAACUCAUCUCAAAUUGGUGUGUCAAAUACGUUAGCAUCUAUAUUUUAUAAAUAUUUUUCAGAGUAGUUUUAUUGUUUAAUUAGUUGUUGUGAAAGGUAACAUAUUUAACCUAACUUUUUCUAUAUAUAUAUAAAAGUAAAGAAUAACAUUAUAUAUCAAACAGAAGCAAAAGACAAAAAUACAUAAUAAAGGAAAAGGGACAAAAUUGGUAAAAUGAUUUUCUUUUGAAUAGGCCUACAUCUCAUAAUCUCAUAAACAGCCAAAAUGUCACAAAACGACCUUCAUCAAACUUUGCUGAAGGCAGAUUUUACUAUUAACGCUGUUACCUAAUCAAAUCAUAUCUAUGUUCUUAACUCUCAUUAACACCUCACAUUACAAAAUCCAGAGCACCAUCCUUCAAAGUAACUUCACCAUUGCGAUCAACCUUCAUAGAAUCAGUUUAUUUAACACCCUCCAAGACGGAGUCAUCUUCAACGAUAUCAUCCGUAUUACUAGACUGCAUUUUGCCAACAGAUUUGUCCUGCAACUUUGCCAAAGGCAGCAGCGUUGUUAAUAGAGAAAAUGAGCAUGAAGUUAAAAGCAUAGUAAGAGAUUGAUUUGAUGAACUAGCAGACCUUUGACACGUCUGACUUCGUUAAGGAACGACCAAGAGCUUCGCCUUCUAACACGAUUGCAGGAAGCAUUUCAAUGUCGCACCCAAGAACCUUGCAUACAACUAAAGUAUAUGCCCUAUGAGCCAGCAUUCCCGUUUUCAACACUUCAGUUUUCUGAGGCUUCUGACCCUGAUUCUGUGUAUUGUUCUUCCCUAGAUGAGUAGAAUGCUGGAGAAGGCGGCUACAUGUCUUAAAACUCUUCAUUUUCCUUCCUGCUAAUUUGCAAGCUAAACAGGUAAAUUCUCCAUCGCCAUAGUGGUUCUCAUAAUAUCUUCUCAAGUUUUCAUUCUCGGUGAACAACUUCAGAAAGAAUUUGAACUCUUCGCUCUCCUCAGCUCCAUCCAUUAACUCCUUUUCACUAGCAUCAUCAUCGUUCAUAGAUCCAAAGAAAGCUCCAUUAAAUUCUUUACAUGCUCUCAAAAUCGUUACCUGCAACAUUUCGACUUAAAUGCUCAUCAGCAGAAACUACAUAUUUUGAACAAGGCAUUCGGUUACUGCUGCCAAGGAACCAUUAGUUUUUUUUUCUAAUUAACAUAAGACAAGUAACUGCGUGCUCAUAAAGAACACCUGAAUGGCUGAACCGAAUAUAGCUUAGUUCAAAACUGCAUAGAUUGUUUUCUCCAUUAACAAAACUUCAAGACCUUGCAAAUUUGAAAGGAGCAAAUGCAAUAAGAUCAUCUUACUGGCAAAUUAUCAAUUUCUCCAUUGCUUUCUCCCAUGCCUGAAACUGAAUUAUCUAUUGGAAGCGUACGAUGAACACCCCAAAUAGAUAAUUACCGAAUAGAAUAUUUAGGAGGAAAAAUACACUUUAUUGGAAGACUAACUUUUUUACAUAUAUUCUAUUCACACUUAGAUGAUAUAGAUUACAACAUUUCAAUCCUAUUUAUAGGAUUAUCACCGGCAUAACUCAUACCACAAAUUAAACACAACAAUUUAAAACCUACACUUAUAUAAUGUGAAACUCUUACUAAAUUAACUCUAAACAUUUUAACUCAUAUCUUUUUAACUUUUUUCUAACUCUCAUAAAUCAAUUCACAUAUAACUUAUUAAUUUAAAGCAUGUUUAAUUUUCAACAUUAUCUGCGUUUUCUACUUGCAGCUUGACAUCAUUAUCCUUACGGGUAUCAUCAUUCUAUAGUGAAAAGCAAUCAAAAUGGAUGCUUUUAAACAAGAAACCACAGAGAUCAAAUAGAAGUUAAUCCAGUUAUUGCACGAAAACUAACCUCUCCAGAAAUCAAAUCUUUGGAAUUAGAAGUAGGAUCUUCAGCUGUCUUUACUUCCUCCAAUUUCUGUUCAUCCUCAUUGACAUUCACCGAAACCACUUCAUACUUAUUAUCAACAUGAAUUUCCUCUGGCUGAACCAACAAUAAUGUUAUGAUAGAAAACAAUCCCAUUAUAAAAGAAUUCAACUUCGAACACAUGGGCAGGCCAGUAAAGUACCUUCAAGUCUCCUGAAUUGGCUAAUGAUCGACUAAGUGGCUCGCCCUUCAACACAAUCGUUGGAAGUCGAUCAACAUCCCAACCAAAAACCCUGCUUACAACCAGACCAAAAGCUCUAUGGGCUCGCUUCUUCUUCGUCCCCGAUAUCGAAAUCGAAUGUUGAACAAGCCCAAGACAGUUCUUAAACCUUUUCCCAGAUUUCUUUUUCCCCAUUCCACCACAAACCAAGCAACAAAACAACCCGCUUUCACAAUUCUUCUCGUAAUAAACCCUAAGUUCUUCAUUCUCCACGAACAUCUUCAAAAAGAAUUUAUACUCUUUACUUUCCAUCAUUUCCCAAUCAUCUUCCUCCUCCUCCUCUUCUUCUUCGUCACUCUCUGAAUCGGCAUUUCUAGCAAAAAAUUCCCGGCAGGCAUCGGAACCCUCGUCUUGCAAUUGCAAUGCUGCAAGAUUUUGUCGGUCUUCAGACGAUACAGGCUGAGCUGCGGGAGUGGGAACGGGCUGAAUUGGCGGCCACCAAGAUGAGGUGGAGGGCUGAUUUUGAAGCGGCUGGGGACAGGGCCAGUUGGGGCGGAGUCUUGUGGUUGUGGUGGGUCGGGGCGUGGUUUUUUUCUUGUUCUUGUUCUUGUUCUUUGGCUUAUCUGGACCUAUGGGUCUCUUGUUGGAGGGAAUGG